rnacentral:lncRNA from 1 species
CGCAUCUUAGGAGAAUGACAACUCUGUCUCCAAGACUGCGUUGUUGUCGAAGGCCAUUGUUGAAUGCACAAAGUUUGUUUUUUUCCCCUUUCUGGGGCUGGCGGGGUAGCCCCGUGGGUACCCAGGGUCUCCCUAAAUUGCGAAGCCGAUUUUGAACUUGUGAUCCUCCUGCUCCGCCCUCCUGAGUGGCUGGAAUUACAGGCACCACCAGCAGUUAUGGCCGCCAGUCCAUGGCACGCCAGCCCAAACUCUUGAAACUUGAAGGUGGUGCUGAGUCAGGCGUGUUUGGGAGAUAAUGGCGUGCAAGGGUUGCUCUGGAGGUGCCUGUCAGGGAGGUGUCUAGGGCAGGAGGUGCCAGCCACGUCCUGGGAGUGUGUUGACGUGGGUUCUCCUGUCACUUUGUGAGUUGGCCCUGCCUUCCAGAAGGAGCCUGUGGGGGGAAAGGGAGGUCUGUCACGAGGCGGGCUGCUCCCUGGCCUUGUCCUCCUCUGGGUGGCCCUCCCUCCCCGCCUGUGAGGUGGUCCUGCACACCCCGCCUGGAGCGCUGGGUGGGCCCUCCUGGGAGGCAGUGCUCAGGCCUCCUGAAGGGCGUCCCCUGUGCCCCUCUUCACCUCAGGGUGAUCCUUCUGACAGACACUUGGAGGUUACAGUGUGGUUGCGUGUAGGCUUCCGCAGUGGGCUCUCCCUUUAAAUUGGGCUCUUCCUCUCCCAGGUGGUGGAGGACAUCGAAUACCUCAAGUACGACAAGGGGCCGUGGCUCAGCCAGGACGACCGCACCUUCCACAACCUGCGGCUGCUGUGAGUGCCCCUGUGGGCGGGGAGCAGGGGCAGCGCUGCCUCCAAGUGCAGUCCUGGGUCUGGUCCGCAACCAGGGUUCGGGGUUCAAGUGAGGCGUUAGUGGCGCCAGCCAGCACCACGUGUAUUGAUUUCCUCUUUCCUUCCAGGCAGCUGUUGGGUGCCUGGUUGGGUCGCUACUUAUUUGGCUGCCGACAUUAAUUCAGCAGAGAUUCUGCUCCGCUCUGCGCUGGGCACUGUUCCAGGUUCAGGGCACGUGGCAUCAACGCAGAGAUGUCUCCUGUGGGGACACAGAAACAGCUGUGCUGGGUCCUGGAGGCUCUGAGGAGGGGUGGUGCUGUGUGGGCUGGGCAGCCCCCGGCACUGUCACUGUGCAGAACCCUCCUGCAGAGGCCUCAGCAGAGCCAGGACUGGGCCCCACGCAUCGGCCAGAGCAGGGGCAGCAGGUGGAGAGGCUCUGAGGCAGGAGUGAGCCCGGGGUGCCCAGAGUCUGGGUCCUGGUCCUGCGACCUCUUGCCUUCCCCGCUGGCCUCCUGCGUGGGACUCCCGCUUUCUCCUGUGUGGGCCACGCCAUUCCUGCCCCCAGGGUCUGCUCCCGCAGCCUUGGAUGGGCUCUCAGGGCACUGAGCGUCUUGCUGGCUCACAGCCAUCUUCACGGCCUCGUCGCAGCCGUGCUCUGGCCUCCAUGGGUGGACUCCAGGUGGCAGGAGGCCUGUCUGUUGCCCCGAGGGCCUUGGCACAGGAGUCACACAGAAGCGCACUUGGGAGGGAGGUCUGCGGCGAGCUGUCCUCAUCGCUUUUAGGACCACAAUUCCUGCAAAGCUCAGGAAUUGGCAAAGAAAGUGCUGUUGGUCGUGAUGACUUGUAAGUGUGAAUAGUUAGCUCAUAGCAGCAGGGCUGAGCUGGGUGCGUGGUGUUUGGGGCCUGCUUCUCAUUUGAAGUCCUGGCUGCCACCGGGGCCUUUCUGGGUCAUCUCUGGCCAUCUCCCAAGAACACCUUCUCAGGGCCCCUGCCCUUCAGCAUGGAAGCCUCACUCCCCUUGGCUUUCCUGGGCCUGUCUGGGGCAGGGAUGGCCUUGGCGCAUGUCCUCUCACCUUGAUCUCAGAGGGACGUGACGGUGGUGUUGAACCCCGACAUGAAGAAAAGACCUCUGACUCCAGUUUUAAAUCAGAUUAAAGCAAGCUUGUAUUUGUGUGCACAGGAGCAGGCCAGGACUGUCUCUCCUGAAAACCCCGGGCUGCAGACCAGCCCCCAGCUCUCCAGGAACAUGAUUUUAUAGCACAAAAAGUUGCAAAGGCGGGGGUGUCUUGAGAACUUAGAGACAAUGGGGUUCUGACAGUCAUGGUACAGAGUCAGAGAGCAGCUUAAUGAUGGACGUGGCAUGAUAGUUAAGGAAGGGAGCAGAUUCAGAUCCCCACAUCAGGGUUUGUGAGGCCCCCUGAGGUUUCAGAGAGGGCUGUUAUCUGGUCAGGUGUGGGGAGUUCAAGGCACGGGCAGGCAUUCCAAGCUAGAAUUUAUAGAAUUAGAAUUUAGAAAUCGCAGGAAUUUACAGCGAAGCAGAAACUAACUUUCCAUGGCUUUGUGACAAGAUGGCUCCCAAUCUUAAGAGGGAAUUAGGCUGGGCUCCUCAGGUGGCUGCAGAGGUGGCCCUGUGUCUGGUGGCAGCUCCUUCUUGGUGCUGCUGUGUCAUUGGCCCUUGAUCUUGAUUGUGUGGGCAGGAUCUGCGGGAGGUGAGUGAAGCAGUCCUCUCGAGAGCUCCAGAGGGUCGGUGGCUCACGGCACAUGUAACUAAGAGGUCCCCGAUCCCUGCAGGCCUGAGCUGAGCUUCCCUCUGUCUCUGGUGCAGGGUCACUGGCAGAAAGGACCAGUGAGUCUGCCGAGUGCCUGUGCUCCCAGCACUGUGCUCAGUGGUGUUCAGGUCACAGUCAUGUUUACGAGUCCAGAUCAGACUGGGUCCUGUGUUCGUCACUGUCAGUGAGACCUGCCCCCCAGUUAAGGGAACGGGUGCUGGUGUAGCAGGCAUGAGGAGGCCACAGGCAGGCAGAUGCGGCAGGUCAACUCCAGGCUGUGGUCCUGGGACUGUCGCUCUGCACAGGAGAGUGGGGAGCUAAAACUCCGAACGUCCAUCCGUGUGCCCUAGCAAAGGGAAAUCUAGGGUCAGACCCCAAAGCCAGGCAGCAGAGCUUUGCCACAGUGGGGGUGAAGUGAGACCCGGGCACAGAGCGCCUGGGGCGGGCCCUUCUCCUGCGGAGGCCACAGGGGGCAGCGCUGCUGCGGCCAAGCCUGUCGCUGUUUGGCGUCUGCCGGGAGAACUGGCCCCACCGUCCAGGCUCCCGAGUCACGGCUCUCUCCUCCCCAGGCCCCCGGGAGGUCUUGAGCCUCGCAGGUCCUCUCCUCACUGUCAAGAGGACAUCCUGCACGGGGACAUCCUGCUCAGGGGGCUGCUUCCACAAGCCAGUCCCAGGUUAAUGACGGUGCUGCCAUCAACGAUGGGGAGAUUAACUUAGUGCUCCUGCUGGGGCGAACUGUCCCUUCUGAAGUUCCCACAGAAACCUGUGGCCUAGGUCCUGACCUCAGGGUGCCCUCGGCAGACCCCGCCAGGAGCCAGCUGCCUUGGCCGAUCCUCUUGGUGGGUUUCAUAGUUGGCUCCCUUGCUCCCGCCUGUUCACCCCCGGGGCAGGCCCACCUGCUGCCGUGUUCCAGGUACUGGAUUGUUCAUCAAAGGAAUCCAGAAAAGCCUGUGACCUGCCGUGGUACUGGCCACACGUCACUGCCCAUUACCAGUUAGUACCUAACAACUUGAUCUGUGGUGCCUGGUAUUUUCAUCUGUAAACUUUGGCACAGAAGUAAAAGGCUAAGCUCUAUUUUCUGAAGAGAAAACAAGACCGCUCUCCAUAUGAGUUUUGUAUGUUGUCCAUUUCAUGGACUCACUGCCCUCGAAAACUGUCUUAAGCCAAGUAAACACAGCUUCUGUCUAACUAAGAAGGUCCGGGAAUGGAGCUCAGUGGUAGAGCACUCUGGGGUCCAGUCCCCAGUGCAAAACCCAGUAACGCAGAGCUGGUCUGAAGGACUUGGACAGCGCCUGUCUUGGGCACCAGGUUGAGCCAGUGUCCAUCGCAGGUGACCACAUUGUACAGUGGAGGUGCACAGCCCUUAGCACCAAGCAAAGGCACGUGGUAUGAGGGGCUGUGAGGCUGCCCUUUCCUGGCUCACUCUGCCCUGUCCACUCACUGCCUUGUGGACACUUGCCAGGCCAGCGGCUGUGGAGCUGAGCUUCCCAGGGUGGCUCACUCCUUUCUCCCAGGUCUUCGGGCCUCGCCCCAGAUCCAGUGGUUGUCGGCUGCCACUCUCCCAUUGAAUGCCCUGGGCCAUUGCUUCUGAGCUGAGUGCCCUGUAUGGGUCUCCGCCCGCUCACCUGUGGCUGUGCCGUGAGCAGUGUCCUGUCCCGUGUGCCCGCUGCCUCCAUCACCUCAGUGUCCUGAAGCCUUGCUUGGAAUUGAGUGGGGGCUGAUUCCCACUGUAGCUCGUCACCGUUUGUGAGCUGUGAGCUUUCUGUGGAGUAAGGGAAGACUUUAAAGGAAGGUCACCUGGGCUGACGGAGCACUCGGGAGUUGAGGUUUGUGGGCAGAGUGCCCAGGCCCCACAGGGUGGAGGAGAGCGAGACACAACUGCCUUGCUCCCUCAAGGUCCAGGCUCCCAGCAGGAGGCUGUGAAUGGGCAAGGACAGGCUCAUGAGAGGCAGACCCAUUCGCGGCCAAGAGCUGGGCACAGAGGCUAAGGACAGCAUCUCGAGGUCACAAGCCCUUCCUCUGAAGGGCCACACAGAGGCUGAAGCCACACAUAGCACCUGCUGCUGCUCCACAGCGGCCAGGACGCAUGCGUGGUCCUCACCGUCUCCUGGACGCUCACCUUGUAUAACGGCACGAGCAUUUCUCUGUUUUUCUGAACGUUCAACAGUCUGACUUUUCUAAUAGCUUCCCCUGCGUGCCCUGACUGAGGGGCAAGAUGGGGGGCACACCGCUGCCCGCGGGCCAGGUCCAGCCUUGGCUGCUCUCAGGAGGGAGGAGAAGUGGGUGCCACAGAAGCUGUGUAGCCACGAAGCUGAGUGUGUUCUGUGUGGCCUGAAUGUGCAGUUGCAUCAUGUGCCCUCUGUUGCAGGGUACAUGGAGAUGUGCUCUGUGGCUCAGGUCUGGAGACUGCGGGCCCAGGGGCAGUUGUGGGUCAGCCUCUUGCUUGUGCUGCAGGGGCCGGAGCUACCAGUGCCCUGGGCAGGUGACGCCAUCUUGCCCUCCCUGCACUGACCUGGCCUCUACCUGUCCUGUGUCCCGUUGGAGUGGUUCCUGUCUGCCUCUCUUGCUUCUGCUGCCUUUGUGGUCUGUGCCCAUCUGCAUCUUGCUCUCCUACCUGUCCAGUACAUGCCUCUACCAGGCUAGUGUCCAACACAAAUGUCACAAGACCUGCUGUUUCUUUCCAGAAUCUUUCGGUGGCUUGUCCUCAUCCGGUUGUAGAUCCAGAUUUCAUUUUCUAGAGUUGACCCAGAACCCGAGGUGUCUGCCCGGCUUGGCUGCCUACACUGAGCCUGCCCACCCCUCCGCCCAGCCGUGGCCUGCACUGAGCCUGCCCACCCCUCCGCCCAGCCGUGGCCUGCACUGAGCCUGCCCACCCCUCCGCCCGGACGUGGCCUGCACUGAGCCUGCCCGCCCCUCUGCCUGGAUGUGGCCUGCUUGUCCUGGCGCACUCUCAAGCCUGUGUGGAGUCGCUUUCUCUUUUCUCCCUGGCUCUCCUGACUGCCUGUGGGCCUGUGUGCCCCUGUUGGCUGCUGCUGAUUCUGCCAGGCAGAGCGUGAGCUGGCCGCAGGAGGGGUGCUGUCCUGAAGCCACAGCCUCGGGAUGUCUGGCUGGCCCCUCUAGUGACGGUACCUUGUCAGUUUCUAAACGCCUUCUGAAGUGUUUGUUGAUCUUGAUUCUCUACCAUGCCUAAAACUGAUGUCCUAAGACCAUUAUUUUAGUAGUUACUUGGUCAUCUGCUUAUCAAACAGAAGGACCCUGUAACUGCCCGUCUCAUACGCCACAGCGUCCAGUGAGUCGUCCUGGUUCAGCUCGCUGUGGUCUGGUCCUUUCCUUUUCUCCUAUUCCUUGUCCUCCCCUGGACAUCUCGUGACAUUUUACAAUGGUGUUGUCUUUAUUUUCCUUUGAUCACCAUUUCUGAAGUGGACAUCGCCGGUUUCUGCGAUGAUCAUCCUAGGUGUUUUGUCCAGACCGGCUGAAUGGCCAGUCCAGAGCACCGCGGUUCCUCCCGAGCCACGGUGUAGGUGUGUGAUCCACUGUGCAUGCCCAUGCUGAGGGGUGGUGACUGGCUUUGGUCUUGCUGGCCCUGCGAUCCCCUCUGUGGCCCACGACUGGCGCCUGCCCAGUGGGCCUGGCCUGUGAGGAGCGUGGUUCCAGCGGGGCGCCCCAUGUGCAGGCCUCUGUCUGGUCUUCCUGCUUCCCAGAGCCCAGGCCUCCCACUCCGAGCUGCCCCCAGCUUGGAGCCCUUCAGCUUUGCAGCCCGGCGUCCCACACUGCAGAGGCUUGGGGUCCCCCGUGCAGGUGCAGUCUCCCUGCAGAACGCUGUGGGCUGGGUGAGCCGGCUGGGACCUAGGAGAAAGUGGACUUUCUGGUGAUUGGGACACAGUUUGAGCCAUAAAAUCUUAUUUUCCAUCUUAUUCUUUUCUGUCUUCCAGUCUCACUCUUUUCUUUUGAUAACUGCAAACCACACUAACGCAGCUUUUCUUUUUAAUUUGGACGCUCGGCCUAAGACAAUGGAUUAUUCUGUCAGAUGUUGGUCCUUAAAGUACACACCGUGCUUGUGCUUCCCUUCCCUGUUUUCCUCUGCAUCUGGAGAGGCUCCUGGUGUCUUUGCUCCUUGGUGGCACCAUAGGCCAGCAGAGGCGCAGGCUUCGGGCUCAGUGGGGCUGCACCCUGGCCCUUCCCAGGUCCUGGAACCCAGUGCUGCCUGGUUCCCAUGAGCCGGGGCAGCGGCCAUGUGUGGCUUCCCUCAUCUUCAGCAUCCUGAGAAGCACGUUCUCUGGAAGAUUCUCAGGGCAGUGUGCAAAUUAUAAUUCUGCCAAGUCAGACGUAGAUGGCACCGUUGCUCUGUGUGCUCCCCACGUUUGCUGGUCAGUAAGUCCUUCCAAAUUUUCUAGAUUUUUCUUAGGGUUUUCAACUGUGGAGAAAACCAAAUCAGCCUCUAGUCACCACGGUAUUUGUUAAUGUUUAUGUGAACUUCGUUUUUAUUUGAAUCUUACUGUGAGAUGGCUUUAGAAAGUUAUGCAGUAACAGGUGUAGAAGAGUCGGACCUGUGAACAGUGAGGAGCUGUGUGCUUACCUGUCACUGAGGUGCAUGUGCACAACUGGAAGCCCCACGCAGCUGGGAGGGAGGGUCCUGUGCUCUGAGGGCUCAGCAGCAGCCAGGUUGUGUUUCUGGCAGCCCAGAGCACAGCCACUUUGUGCCCUUGCAGACUUCCCAAUACACUUGCCUGAGUUUUUAAAAAUAUUUGGUCUUUCGGCAGAUAAAAUCAACUUGACAUUGAAAUUAAGAAAGUGAUCUUACGGGCUGGGGAUGUGGCUCAAGCAGUAGCGUGCUCGCCUGGCAUGCGUGCAGCCCGGGUUCGAUCCUCAGCACCACAUACAAACAAAGAUGUUGUGUCCGCCCAAAACUGAAAAAUAAAUACUGAAGAAUUCUCUCUCUCUCUCUCUCUCACUCUCUCUCUCUUUCUUUAAAAAAAAAAAAAAAAAGAAAAAAAGAAAGUGAUCUUACCUUUGAGUGUGUACAUGGUAGCCGUUUGCCCAGCCAAGUGGAACUCCCCGUGAGCAUUGAGGGGCACCAGCAGACAUGGCUGUCAGCAUCAAUACUGGGAAUGGCAUGUGUCCCCGCUGGGUGGUCUGUCUCUGCUGUGGGAACCAGCUGGGGUUCACAUAGCAGGCCUGGGUCACUUGUCCAGGGCCUGGCCAGGGUCAGCUUUGUUCAGUCUCCACUUGAGCUGUUCUUCCACUGCUUUUAUAGCUCCCCAUGGAAAAGUGGCUGUUGAAAAUAAUUACGCUCUCUGCUCUAAAUCUAUAGGGGAGGACUUCAAAUGUAGUGGUAAUAUUCAGACUUAACUUGGUUUAAAAUAGGCCUAUAUAACAAAAUAUAAAGAUUUUAGCGUUCAGCAAAAUUACAUGGUGAAACAAGGAGAGUGCCCUGUGACUUGAGUUUGUUGGUGCCCGGGAAGGGAGAAGUAGACCUUUCACAGGCCAGGCCACGGGGUGCCUGCGCGCUCCAGCUGCAGGCAGUCUGGACUUUGCCUGCAGGCGGUUGGCACACACACGGCCCCGCCUGCCGGCUGGUGAGCUGCAGGGCCCAGUUCUUCCCAGGUCUUGUCCCAGGACACAUUCACGCAGAGCAGAGCGCUGGGGUGCCGUCCACUGGCAGCUCUGUCCAGCUGCCCUGUGUACAGAGCACACCAGGGCUCCUUUUUAAAUGUUUCCAAAGGCCAUCGUCUGCCAGCCCUGAGGCUUUUUAGAGGCUCCCUUGGGUUCUUGGGGUGACACAGCCCCAAGGUCUUGGCAGAGGGGCUGUGCCCGGGAUGGCUGCGUCGGGGGGAACCCCUGUGGCUGAGGCCACGAGCUCCUGUGCAGAUGCUUUGAAAACAUCAGUGCCUGCCGUGUGACACUCGUGCUCUGUGACACUCCUUUUGAUGGCUUGGCGUGAUCCCUGUCGGUCUUGUCUUGCAGGGUUCAGGACAAGUUGGAGGUGCUGAAUUACACGACCAUCCCUGUCUAUCUCCCGGAGAUCACCAUUGGGGCUCAUCAGAGUGACCGGGUCUUUCGAGCCUUCAGAGAGGUGAGUAGGAAGCCUGAGGGCCAGCCAGGCUGGGGUGGUGGUGGCCGCAGACACCACGACACUCCGCUGAAGAGUGGCUUGCUGCCUUGCCCUUCUGCAGUCCUGCUGGGGUCCUCAGGUGGAGGCAGGAGCAGCCGUGUUCUGGUGGCCCUGGCCGCCUGGCAUACAGCUAUCUUGAUGCACACACGUCCUCUGUUCCUCCGCCACCAUCUCCUCUCUGCUGUCACCUCAACUCUCACGUCCGUCUGUGAAUCAUGAGGCUCACGUUUCUACACAAGGGCCUCCAACCAGUGGGAGCACCGGGCCUGACAGUGGGCAGGAAGUUGGGGGCCAGCCCAUCCCACUCAUCCUGUCUGUGAUUUCCACGCCGUCCAGUGGAUUGUGUAUCCCCGUUGGCAUGGAGAGUCAUCCCCAGCCAGACUCUGAGGGAGGGACAGGGGCCAGCAGGAGAGCCGGGGCUGCUCUGGUCGUUGGCUACUGGCAAUGUGUGCGUGAUCGUAGUGGGGUCUGCACUCUGAGCUGAGCAGGGGACCCGUGAUGGGUUUGGAGAGGGACGCUUCUGCACUGCUGUGAUUUCAGGUGGGUGCUGCAGGUACCCCGAGGCGCGGAGGGUAUGCGUCACCUCCCUUGAGGUUACUUGGCUCCGUGCCUGUUUUUCUGGGGAAUGGACCCUUGAACCCAGGGGCUAUGCGUGCCAGCCACGUGCUCUACUCUGAUCUGUGCAUCUCCAGCCCAUCACUUUCUUUUUCGUGAAUUCUUUGGGUGGUUCUGACGUGACUUCUUCCAGUGUAGACUUGCAGCCCCGCCGACCCUGCCUGCACGCCGUGGCCCUGCCGCUGCUCCUGCUGUCCUGGCGCCCUGCAGGGUGCCUGCGCCGCUCCUCCUAAGCAGGCUGUGUGGACCUGCAGCUUUCUCCUCGGGCUCCUUCCGCCUGCCACCGCGAGGAGAAGCUGUGCCCACUGCAGGCCUCGCCUGCCCUCAGCUCUCCGGCUUCCGUCUUGCUGGCCUGGGAGCUGUUGCUGGGGCGUGGUGUCGGCCGAGCUGCCCUGUGGGCUCUGGGAAACCCCUGGUCUCCUAGUGGCCACUCCGACUUUAAAGCUUUUUUCAUUUGAUGUUCACGUGGCUUCCAAGCUUCUUUAAUUGAUGUUUAUUGGGUAGCUUUUCUCCACCCUGUAAUUUCAGCUUCUCUGUGUGUUUAUAUUUAAUGUAAGUACCUUAUAAAAAGCUUGUAGGUGUUUUUAAAUCUUUUGUUAGCCUGAACGUUGUUCGGAUUUAAUGCGUUCUUGAUAAAUCUGUAAAUAGCUUGUCUUGCUCUCAUGGUCUUCUUACCUGUUGAGUGCUGUUGUCCCUCUCUGGAUGAAGCUGUCCUCCCGCCCUCGCCCCUUCUGUUGCCUGCUGGUCCUCGUCCUCCUCACAGCUGGCAGUGACUGACCUGGAGAGGCGGGCGCUCCUCUCUGGCUGCCUGGAGUCCCGCGGCGCCUGUGGUUCUCCUGACUUUGCAGCGCUGCUCGGCCCUGUGUCCUCGGUCUGUGCCCCUCCAGCCCUCAGCCGUGCUCCGGUGCAGUCGGGGUUGAUGUGAUGCUCAGCCUGUGUUUUUGCCUUGCUAUGGCUCACACCUGCCUGGCACCUGCUUCUGUUCAGGAUCGCUGGCCUUCGGCCUGAAGAAUCCUUUGCAGAUAACAGAUUCUCACAUUUAUUUAAAAUGGCCUUUAGUUGGUCUUCAUUUUCUUUGUUUUAUUUUGGAGCAUCAAACAAGAAUAGAAAAUUAGCUUUUCCCAAACCACACUGCCCAGUUGGCAGAGUGCCACCCCUGCAUCACACCUCCUCCCUGGUCAGUCACCCCAUGGACGAGAGCUUCGUUCUCUCUGAUGGGCACCGAGGCUGGAGAACUCUGUUUGAAUGUGUCCUCCUCACAGGCACGGACGCGUCCCCUCACCAGCCAGCAGCUGUCCUGGUCCAGUAGAGCAGGCGCGUGCCUGUGCUGCAUGCUGGGCCACCUGCCACAGACCUGGUCAGCCCUCUAGGCCAGUGCUGUGACUCAAGCAGAGACCCUGCCAGGCCUGGCUCCUGGUCUCCUUGGUCUGCACUAGUUCCUGGGGCUUUGCUCAACGUUCAAGGCCUUGACACUCAGGAGGACCCCGGGACUGUAUUUUGAACAUCUCUCCGUUUGGUUUUAUUGGCUGUUUCCCAUGGUUAGGGUGGUUUUCCUUCUCCCUGUGGGACUGUUGGCGAACUCCUCGCCUCUCUUGAGAGUGGUAUCCUCACUGUGAGGUCACCCUGUGGCCUUUGGUGGCCAGUGCACCCUGGGCGCUUCGAGGCUGUGCAGGAGUUCUCCCUGAGGCUUCGCUCGGCCGUUGGAGCAGCCCUUGGAUUCUGGAUUGCGUUGGUUGUUAACAAGGUGGUUGCCGCGCUGUUCGGCUUUUUCAGGUCUGUCUUUCCUCCUGUGGCUCUAGGUAGUGUCCAGUCUGAGGAAACGUUUCUCCUACUGCACUGGUUUGUUCCUUAACGUGUCUGUGUCACCAUGGACCGCCCCCCACCCCAGGCUCCUGUCCACUCAGCUGCUGUUACCUGUGUCUGCUGGGAACAGUGUGUCCAGCCCAGCGUCUCUGCUCCAGUGUGACCCUGCAGGGUUCUUCUAGUGCCUGUGCCACCGUCUCAGAGUGGGAAGCCUGGUUCCAUCCCUGGUGUGGUGUUUCCUUGCUGGAUCGAUCCUUAUGUGUGACAAGCGUGCCAUCUCAGCUGCCAUGCUGGCCUGCCAAGAUUGCCACUGUCUGUCCCAGCCCUAGCUGGGCACAGUCACUUUAGGACUGAACUUGGGAGGAAGGCGACUGAUUCUUGAAGAACACUUGCAUUGGGUGUAGCCGCCCACAGUGCUGUUUUCCCCAGCACUUGCAAACUUUCAGUACUUCAUAACUCUGUCCUUUGCGUUUCUCUUGAGAAGCUUGCUCUUCCCCCUGAAGAUGCCUUUCUUCUUUCUCUGGCAGGGUCUCUUCUGUCAAACAGGUGUCUGGGUGGCUUUGCGCAUUGUCCAGGUUGUCCUUGCCCUUGGUGGGUGUGCGUCAGCUUGCUGUGGCCCAGCACUCUGCUCUCUGGCUGCUCUCUGCUGUCAGAUGACUGCCUUCCGUUCCCUCCUGCUCGCCUUUCAGGGGCCUGUCCUGCCCUGUCCUUGUGUCCUGUUGUGCCCCUCCCUUGUUUCUCAACAUGCUCAGCCUGGGAGCAGGGCGCGGUGGUACACACCUAUAAUCCCAGUGGCUUGGGAGGCUGAGCCAGGAGGAUCACAAAUUCAAAGCCAGGUUUUCUCCUGCAACUCAGCGAGACCCUGUUUCUAAAUAAAAUACAAGAUAGGGCUGGGAUGGGGCUCAGUGGUCGGGUGCCCCUGAGUUUAAUGCCUGGUACCGCGCAUCCCCUCCCCCAAAAAAACCCAAAAAAAACCCAAAAAACAUGCUCUACACUGUCUCCAAGUUCCUGAUCAUCUUUUGAGCUCUUUCUAACCUGUUGAUAGACCUGCAUUUCCUGCAUCUUAGUGUUUAAUUUUAAUUGUUGUCAAUUUUUGUCUCUAGAAUUUCCUGUCAUCAUUUUCACUUUCUGCUGUAACUGUUUUGUCGUCAGUGUCUUGGGCGUCCUGGUCCCAGGCACAGUGAACUGAUAACCGCAGCGUCUUCUCCGGGGUGGGCGAACCCUCGGGUCUCUUGCCCUGUGUUUCUGGUCACUGACUGCCUGGGGCUGUCCUUUGUUGUUUCGCAGUGCUCUCCACGGUGGCUGUUCAUCCUAAGACUGUGCAGGUUGCGCGAAGCUUCCGUGGCCCCGUCUCUGGCAGGCGUGGGAGGCAGAGCAGGUCCCAGUGCGUCCAAGAGCUGAGCGAGGGAGCCGGUUCUCUGGGUCUGGUGUGCUUCACUUGCUCUUCCCGAGAGGCCAACUUCAGGAGGGUCCCUUCUUUUUGGUGGGUCCUGAAAUUUUUGAGUUCUCUGGGUUGGAAAGUCCUGAUCAGUAUCUCAGAGGCUGCUGCUGGUGGAGGUGGACAGGCCCUUGGGUGGCAGGCACAGGCUCCGCAUUGCUUUCUCCUGGGACCCGGGAGCCCUCCUGCCUGGGGCUUGUGAGCCAGGUCCUUUCUGUAGGAGUGGUCAGGAGCAGGACCUGGUUGACCAAGCCAGUCACCCAAACUGGCCUCUCAGCUGUCUUAACCAGCUACAGGGAGAUUGCUUAGCACUUUCUUAUCAUUAUUGUGUUUUGUACAGUUUAACUUGUCAACAUAAAAGAGGAUAUUAUUGGGCUUGUGAUUUUAAUUUAAUGUUGAGAAAUGAUAAAAUUUUUAAUCAAUGUUUAAGUGAUUGGGGAAAUCUUUUUAAAAUUUGUACAUGUUUUUUAAAAACAAGCUGCAUUUUUGGAGCAGUUUUAGAUUUACAGAACAAUGACGUGGACGGUGGACAGGCCUCCUCUCCCCACGGUGCUUUUCCACAUCCUCCAGGUCGGGUGCAGAGCACGUGUUGUUAGUGAGGCCUCACGGACACCUCGCUGGAACCUGAACCUUGGGUCUCCCAGUGUCCCCCAGUCCAGGCCUCCCGGCAGGAGUCCCAAGCCUGCAGGCCCCUCUGGGCGGUGGCCUCUGCUCGGCCUUCCCUGACUUGGGCACCUUCGGCUGCCAGAAGGAGCACAGCGGCCGUUGUAGCACAGCCUCCGAUGGCUGGCCGGGCUUUUCUCAAGGUCAGCUGGGCUGGGCAGGGGUCGAGGUGCCCUGUCAGUGUGACCGUCACUUGGCAUCACUGACCACCUGGUCCAUGGAGAGUGGCUCUUCCCUCUUUCCAGAGGGUCGCCGCACGGUGUGGCUUUGUAUGUGCCUGUUGGGGAGAAUUGUGGGACCAUUGAGAGGAAUGCUUUUUUUUUUUAAGGAAAUUCAGUUGCUUGAUAUUAAAGAUUCUGCUUCUCUUCAUUGAUAGCAUUCCCUCUGGCCACUGAGGACAUAGUGAGGAUUGUCCCAAGUGUCCCCUGGAGGUGGCUUGUGGGGUGUGGCGAUGAGCAGUGGAGGGCUCUGGGUGCCUGAGCAGUGCUGAGGGUCUGGGUCCGUGGCUCCACACGUGGCUUCCCUGGGUGGACAGCUGCCCAGCUGUGCUCCGUCUUGCACGAGAGUCCCUCUGGUGAGCUGCAGCUGGCUGGUGGCCUCUUGGUGGCCUCGGCAGACAGGCAGAUGCCUACAUACCUGGCCUCCCUCCUCCAGCGCCCUGCGGAGGUCCAUGUGUUCCCACGCUCAAGAGGCAGAGUCAUAGGGCAGCUUCGUUCUCUGUGGCCAUCCCUUCAGACAGGCCACAUAUUAGGGACAACACACCCCACUGCAUUAAAACACAUUAUUCAAUCCCCAGCACCACAAAAAAAAAAAGAAAAAACAAAAAACAAACCCUUAGCCGUCCACCUCUUCUGCCCUGUCUUCCUUCCCUGGAGGCAGUUCCAGGGCCAUGGAGUGGAGAGGCCCGAAGGCAGGCUGUCCUGCAGGCGUCCCUCCUUAGUUGUUCAGGUCACAGUGCUCCUCCUUGUUCCUGUGGCUCCGCUGGGACCUCAGGCCUAGGCAAGACUGGAAGCCUGGGGCAGGGACCAUGCAGAUGGCAGUGUGCUGGCCUUGCUCCGAGAACACCCAGUGGAGGCUGCUCUUCCUGCAGACCCUCACCUCAGGCCAGCAGAAGGACACGCUGUCAGGUUGCUCUUGUCAGGUCAGAGGCUGGGCUUCUGAGGUUACUGAGGGUUACUGUGAAGUUGAAUUGCUAACCAGAUCCACUGCCGUUUUCCAGAUCUGAACAGAACAGAGCCUUUUAGAGAAGGGCUGGGAUUUGCUUCAUGGGCCUUUUGUUGAGAGGCUAGGAAAGUAGAAUCAGCCCCUUGGCAGGGGCAGAGGCAGUGCUGGGCCUGAGGCCGCAUGGACUGGCUCUUCACCUCGAGCUUGCUGCCUGAGAACCACCCUGCCCUCGAGCACAGGAAGUGGAAGCCAGCCGGGCCUACAGCACCUGCAAGUGCCCGUGGUGAGAAGACCUGCAGUUGUCCCUUCCAGAGCCUGCAGCUGCGUGGGCACCUCUCAGAAGAGGGGCCUUCCUGAUAAUGGCACAGGGGUGUUCCAUGGCCAGCUGUUUCCUGGAGCAGGAGGAAGGCAGCGGGGCCCUGGGCACCAGCACCUUGGAGGCACUUGCUCCCUUGUUAGGAAUUUGUUUUCUUUUUUUGGCACUGGGAUUGAACCCAGGGACGCUCAACCACUGCCACAUCCCCAGCCCAUUUUUUAUUUUGAGAUGAGAUCUAAAUUGCUGAGAUCCUUGCUAAGUUGCUGAGGCUGGCUUUGAACUUGCAAUCCUCCUGCCUCAGCCUCCUGAGCCACUAGGAUUAUAGGUGUGCACCACCAGGCCCAGCAGGAACUUUUUUAAAAAGGUAGAAACACAUGGGUUUUCACCAGACUCCACCAACAACAGGAGUCCUUUAUAUAAUCUCAGUUAACAUUAGAAAGACAAACGAAUUGCCAAGAGCAUAGCUCUAGUUUUGUGAGAAGCUUGAACUUGGGGCGUGGAGGAGGCAGGUGCUGAGUGUGUCCUGGUGCACCCCUUCUCUCCCGUGGUCGGGUCUCACAGUGCCUGGCGCUGGCUCUGCUUGGAGUCUUGGAGACGGAACCAUCUUUUGCUGCCCGUCCUGAAAUUCAUUAAUUAGUGUAGUGUUGUUAUCUCUUUGAGAUCUUUCCGACUUUUUUGUCCUUGGGAGUUUUGUAGCUGAACAAACAAGAUAGGUCUUGGUUUGACUUUGUUUACGGCAGUGUUUGCCAGACCUGCUCCUGGCUCGGGCUUCCGCUGCUGGGCUCCUGAGUGCUGAAACUGCGUUCCUGCGUGGUCUGUGUCCACCUGUGGUUCCCAGGCUCCUUCACUUUGUCUUGCCUUGGUUUUCCUUGCUCUUACCCUUGGAGGCUCAUUUUCCCCUGUUAUGGGACUCUGGAGUCUUGGCUCCUCUUUGUGGGGCCUCUGCCCUGGGCAUCGCCUCCUGAGGAGGACUGGCCUGGCCGGUAGAAUGUAGGAGCCCGACACACGCAGGGUGCUCAGAUACCGCCUUGCCUUGGUGGUGUGAGUGUGUCCCAAGUGCCGCAUCCACUGUUCGUCCUGCGUCUGGAGCUAGCUCUGGCCGCCCUUCCCCAGGUUCCUGGGCCCAGGAUCGUGGAGCGACUGGGAAGACAGCCACCUGGUGCUCAGCCAAGCCCCAGGCUCAGCCCCCAGCAUUGCCAUGUUGAGCUCCCCCCUCAGUCUCUCACCCCUCGGCAGAUGUCUGACAGGUCUCCAGCAUAGGGUGAUGUCGGGGUGCAACAGGCCUUGUCCAGGAGCCUGCAUCCUCGUGGGCAGCAGGGAUGAGCAGUACGCAGGAGGCAUCUGAGACCAGGCCAGACACGGGCUGCCUUGCCGAGAGGCAGCACUGGAGCCGUGAGGAGCAGCCCACCUCGGGCAGGGAGCAGGCGGGCAGUCUGCGAGCAGGAGAGCCUCCUGCCCAGGAACGUGCUGAGGCCAUCCAGGCAAGGCCAGGAGGGCCUGCGGGCUGCAGAGAGGACUGGUGCUCUCAGGCUGUGGGCCCACUCAAGUCCUCCUUUGCAGCCGUGUGUGUGUUGGACGUGACAGGGCCAGGGUGCAGGUUGGGAAAGGUUGGGAGCAUCUCCCCAGUUCUGGAUGGAGACGCUGAGGCCUGAGCGUGGCCCGAGGCCAGUGCCCUCCUUCCCCCCAGGCCUCCCUCUUUGCGCAGCCAGGUCUGUUCUUGCCUCAGGUUUUCAAAACUCCGCAGACCGUGGGCUUCAGGGUGGGUGGGGAAGCUGGGGGAGCGGCCCAGGCCUGGCGCGGCGGCUUCCUCGCCCGGGCAGGGCUUACUCACAGACAGCACCGGAGUCCACUGAGCGGCUACUCUGGCUUUCAGAGAAGGGAGGUGGCUCUUGGUGACAGUGGACGUGGGCGAGGGUUCUCUGGGGCUGGGUGUGCUCACCGUGGGUAUCCCACUGACUGGUUUAGCUCUGCCAGUGACCAGCGCAGGAGCCGUGAAGGCUGGGCCAGCUGAGCCCGAGCCUGAGCAGGUUGGGACUGAGCUUGUCACAAGAGGAAGCCAUCGGUCCCACUCCUGCUGCAGGAGUGUAGCUAGACCGCCCCGAGCAGAGCCUGCAGGUGUUGGGAAACGUCCUGGCUGGUGGGGGACAGGCUCGCCAACUCCCGCGCAGCCUUGGCCUAGUGACCUGCCGUUGCCAGGAGGUUCCAGGGUGUGGGCCUGGUUCUGACCGAGCAGGCUGCCUUUCACACCGCGCUCGCUCAGCAGUCGUAGGAGGGUCGCUUCUGCCCCUGCAGCCUCACGCUUCCCAGGCCUCGCUGCGCAGGCACGCCUCUCCUGGCCUGCCCAGAGGAGCAGUACUGCUGCUGCCACCAGCGUCCAGCAGGGCUUGCCCCAGCUAAUAGGUCUGGUGGCCCCGGAGCUGCCUGCCAACCUGAGGCUGCCAGGGAGGACCAGCUCACCGAGUGCUGGGCAGGGGCCAACCCGUGGAGGUGUGUGCAGAGCGCAGCUCCCAUCCCAGGCACUGCGGGAGGGUCGCAGCCAGCAGGCCCUUGCAGGAUGCUGCUGUGACAACUGGGUCAUCACAGACCGUGGGGACGGUCUCAGGAGAGCGCAGGGAUCUGCUAGCCACCUUUUACUAGCUUCUCGUUUUAUUGUUUUUAAAGGCCAAGACCUCCUGAGUGUGUGUAAGGAAAGAGCAGAUGCCACUGGUUGGUGUGCAGGAGGUGUGAGAGAGAGACCGGGCAGCGGGUGGGAUGGGGCCUAGGGCCUCAUUUCUGGGCGCAGCAGAAGGGCAGGGGCCAUGCCAGUGCCAAUCACUGCUCAUUUUAUAAGACCACCAAGCUCCUCUCUAGAGGGGUGCAGGGGUUCAGGGGUGCUGCGCAGGAGAAGGACUCACUGCUUCCUGGUGGUGCAGGGCGCAUGGGCUGGUGGGAGUCUUCCUGUGGCCCCACCUCAGGACCUCGCUGGCUCCGGGUUGAAGUUUCUCGUCCCCUUGUUGGCAGCCACUGGUGCACACGCAGGGCAGGUCGAGCUGCUGGGCUUUCUACAGUGUUCACACACUUGUGUCAGCACCAUUUCCAAGGUGGUGGAAGCACGUGGUGGCCAGAGUGUCUGGAAGCAGCUGGCGCCACUGCGGGGCUCAGCGCUCUUGGGCCACGCCGAGCCGUGGCACCAGGCUGCCACGCUGGGCCGCGGAAGCCGCCUUUUCCCAAUCGCUGCACACUCAAGUGGACAGUUCAGAUAGGCUGUCCGGGGAGGUAAGGGCCUGGUGCCCGCACCCCAGCAGUGUGGCCGUGCAGGACCAGGACGCAGAGAUGGCGCUGAUGGGACUCUGAGCCUCGGGUUCCUUCACCUGGUGGCAUCGUGGCUGGGGGACUGAAUGCCAGCAGAACGUGGUGGUUGGGGUGAGUUGGCCACCCUUGAUGGCAGGCGGAAGCUGCAGCUGUCUCUCCUGGCCUUCAGUGGGAGCCUAGGGAGCGCAGCGUGGGGACCUAGACCUCCCACUGCUCUGUGGUGGCGGAGUCGAGGCCCUGAGGCCCGAGUCUCAGAAGGUUCCCACCAACCCAUUGCUUGGGCUCUGCAGGUCUUGCCUUUGCUUGAACUUGGACCCCUCUGUUUGAUGCAGUGAUCUGCAUCGGGCGGCCUCUGGAAGGGGCUGCUGCCCUGGGGCUGGCUGCACGGGGGAGUGGUUCUCCCAGGAGCUCACUUUUUCUGCUUAUCCGCUCAGUCCUCAGGCCCUGGGCCGUUCACCGUUUGUCCUUGCAGGACAGCUCCUAGGCCUUCAAGCCUGCCAGCACGAGCCCUGCCUCUCUGCGCACUCACCUGUUGCCUGGACGCUGCAUGGGGACACAGAUGCAGGCACAGCCCGUCCCUGCAGACCUGCUGGGCAGGAGGCAGGGCAGCCGUGGGCGUGGCAUGGUGUGAGGGAGGAGGUGUGGUGUGGUCCCAGGGCCUGGGGUCGUGACCCUCAGGAUUCUCACAGGAGAAGUGAACUUGGCCCAGCAGGAGAAGGUCAGGGGCAGCUGAGGGCAGGACUGCUGGCCUGAGGGCAUGGGGCUGCUUGGUGGCCACCUGGUGGUGUGUAAAGGGGAGGGCAGCGGGCCAGCGGGGCGUGCUGGUGCUGCUGCAGGUGGUGAGAGAGGCUACCUAAGCACCGCCGGAACAUGUCCCUGCCUCGCCAAGCAAGGGCGUGGCCAGUGUGCCGGGGAGAGUUAGGAAAGGUGCUCAGGAUGGUGGACUGGGGCGAGGGAGGAUUCCAGGGCUGUUUUGAACACCUCGCCGGCUCUGGGAGACCUGGGAGUGAAUCCUAGAGGGUGGACAACAGAGUGAGGCUCAGGAAAGUUACUGGAGGUGACAGUGCAGGUGAAGGUACAGGGUGGUGGCCCAAGACUUUCCCAGUAGGAGGAGUGGCUUUGGUCGUGAAGGGCAGGAGACAUAACCCUGGGCUUAUUUCCAGGAUGGCUCCAGCUCCCUCCCGUGUGGGUGCCUGGGCAGGUACACAGGUCAGUCUGGUGCCCUGGCUUGUAGAGCUGGCAGGGGUCUUGGAAGGGGCUGUGUUUCGAGGUGGUCACGGGGGAAGCAGGACCUGGCAGAGGCAGGGGCUGGCGCUCACAGCAGUGACUGCUGAGUACCACGGGCACCUACUGUGUGCUGGGCACCGUGUGGUGGCCACAAGGAAGCGCCUGUCCCUCCCACUUGCAGAGGCGUGGUCAGCAUGCAGGUGCCUGGGCGGUGCGCAGCCCCUGGCCUGGCGCUGCAGCGGUCGUCCUGGGUAGGCAGCAUUUCCUGCUCUGCCGACUGACGUGGGCACAGAUACGCAACCAGAGACUGCUGCAGAGGACGAGGCAGCUCAGGUGUUCAUAGGGGUGGUUUUGUUUUGUGUCUUCAUGGGUCCUGUGACCUUGGCGUUCUUGACCAGUCCUGCCACUGGUCUGGCUGGAGUGCUAGAGGCUCUCAGUGUCUGUCAGCUUCCAGGUGACUGCCCCGUGCCUGGCCACUGUGCCUGGGGAUCCAGGAUUUCAGCCCGGGUGGCUCUCAGAAGAGCAGGAGGACUGGGACCCCAGCAGUACUUGUUAACAGGUUUCCAUCCGUGACCUCCCAGUUCUGUGCUUGGAGCCGUGCCUACUCGUGGUCAUGGAGAGCCUGAGCACCGUCAGCAGGCCCGCUUUUCACAGCCACUUUCCAGUUCCGCACAGAGCUGCUCUGGGGCCACAGACUGAUUGGUCUUUGUCUCCCUGACUUGGUCCCUUCCCGCCAGUGAGGCCAGGGGCUGCUAAGAGGCUGAGCUCCUCCCGUGGAUCCAAGGGCCGAGGCGGUGGCCAGGACGGCAGAGUCUUCUGCUUUCUGACCUGCUAGUUUUUAUUUCUUAACUGUCUCAAGUUGUGUCAUCCUCGGUCUCAAAUCCUCCUUUACCGCAGAGUUGUCUUUAGUACCUCCGUUGUGCUGACACUGCGGUCUGGCCCUUAGGGACUUCACCGUAGUGUGCUCACCUGCAGUCAGCAGUGGGUACCAGGAGAGUUACCGGACCUGUAGAGGAAGACCACCGCCCGUGGUGGUCGGAAUGUCCUCGUGGCGUUCAGCCCAGAGCUCCCCUGGGAAUCUGGUUAUGAAGUCAGAGUCCAGAUCUCAGCUAGAGCAGGGCUGGGAGGAGACGGGUCUGCCUGCCUUCAUGCCUGCUCUGCAGAACCCCAGCACCUGGCAUCAGUCUGCCACCUCAGUUACCCACAUAGGAAAUCGGCACAGGAGGGUGGGUUUGCUCGCCACUGCUGGUGACCGUGUGUGAAGAUGUGCUGACCUGAGUGGGGGGCUCGGCAUGGCCUGGAGGUCCAGAGCGUCACUGUCCGGACACACGACAGACGUCUGUGGGCGCUGGGAGGGGCUUGCUGUCUCCAGCGUGUGAGCAGGUGCUUGGGAGCCCUUCUGCCGGUCACGGCUGGUGCCAGUUGAGGGGUGAACACUGGGGACUGGGCUGCCGUGGUGUGCGUCCCAGUGAGCAUCCCAGCGACAGGUGGCCUGCCUGUACACAGACACCAUGCCUGUAUGGCAGACAGAGGGUGGCUUUUUGAAACUUGACGUGGACAAUGGAAAUAUUUCUCUUGAAAUUGACUGUGAUCCUGACUUGUGGAGAACAGUCAUAGAAGUCUUAGGGAAAUGGCACACUGAGGAAAUGGUCAGCAGUCUCCAUGAUGUUAUUUCUUACAAUUAACGACAGCAUUCGGAGCAGAGCUCAUCUGUGUACACAUAGUGACGGAAACAGGAGCUGACCAGAAUCCCCGCGUCCCUCAGAGGCCCAGAGGAGGCAGACCUGCCGUCCCUGACGCAGCCCUUUCCUGCCCGCAGCUACGUUCAGUCCUGUCUCCUCUGCGCUCCCUGUUUACAGGAGCUCCACUGGGGUCCGUCCCUGUGUACCUGUGUGUGACACCAGCACUGAGUGUCCUCCAGGAGGACUCUGAACAGGGCUGUGGGUGAACGCCCCGUUGCCCCCGAGGUCCAGCCUGCGGGCUGGGGGCAGCCCCCACUGCCCGGUGCGCUCCUCCUCGCGCGGUGGCCAGGAGGCCCGGGUCUCCCUCUCCUUUCCCGGCCGCGUGUGCUCUGCCCUGGGCUGUUUCGGGGGCCUGCUGGCUUCUCUCCUGGCGGCUCCGGCUGUGCCUCUGGCUUGCCGUGGCGGUUCCUGCUUUCCACUUCCAUGGGCACCGCGCCUGCCGCGGGCCUCUCGGUGGGGGCUCUCAUCCUCGUUGUCUUUGGAGAGUCUUGAAGGGACUCCUAGCCUCGCACCAUCCGCACGUCCCUGCCACCUCGGGCCUCGUGCCUUCGUCUGGACCCAGGUGUGGUCGGCACCAUAUUCCGUGAGCUGGGCGGCCUCUGUAGCAGUGUUCCCAGGGCACGGCACGGUGACAACUGCUGUUGACUGCUGUUCAUAACCACGUUCCUUCCUGCUCCACUCGGCACUGGCAGUGCCUGCCUCCGGGUGGUGUGUCCCCUUCCCACAGCAGAGCAGAUGCCCACGGCCCGGGCGCCUGGCUGCUGUCGGGAAGUCCGCGGCUGCUCUGGUCUCUCUUCCUGGCACCCGCGCACCCUCCCCUCCGGCUGCUCCUGGAGCUUCCAGAGUCGGGUCACGCGCCUCGCGCUGCCUCGCUGUCCUUACCUCGGGUGGGGGCCCUCGGCUUCCUGGAAGCGCAGGUUGCCGUCUCUGAACUUUGGGGGCCCUCCCUCCCCUUCUCGGAUGUGUGUCCACGUGCACGGGGCUGGCCUUCUCCACAGGCCGCGGCUUGCUUUCAGCUGCUUGUUCUGUACCAUCCGUGUCCUGGGUGCCUGACACCCAGGUGGCUGUCUCUGGGCCACUGACCUCUCCUCUGUCCUCUGGGGUGAGUUUCACUGUGGAAGGGCUUCAUGUGGGGAAGUGCCCAGGGAGGGUCGGGGAGGCGCUGAGGGGGCGGGAGGGCCUGGGGACAAGCACAUGGCACAGUGGACGCUCACAGCCCCAGGGGCUACGUGGAGGUGGCUGUUCUGGGGAGAGCGCGACUCCUGGUUUGCACGUGGGGCUCGGGAAAGGCCACCCUCUGGGGGGGGGCUCUCAGUAGGCCCGCCCUCCCCUCAGCACCCAAGCAUGCGAGUGCUUCAUGGCAGCCACCUCCAUGUCCCGGUCCCCUGUCCAUCACCUGGCACUCCUGCUUUUCGCCUUGGUUGGGGUCUCGUUCUGGGUCUGAGACAAGCGUUGGGGUUUCUGGUGGGUGGGGGGCUGCUUGCAUGGCAGCGUUGAGCCUGUUUGGAUGGGAGUUUCAGUUUGGGGGGCUUCUGGGGCAGCUGGUCUUCGGGGGACAGUGUACACACUAGGAUUGGCCUGGGGGCUCUCUUCCUGCCCUGUGUGCACGGAGAGGCUGGUGGUGGGACGCUGACCCGAGUCCUGGGCAAGCGGCUCCGGCAUGGACGCCACCGCCCGGAGCUCUACUUGUGAGCAGGAGGCCCUCGCCAGAGACCAGGGGCCCCAUGCAGGUUUGGGAGCUCCUUCUGUCACCCCCACGUGAGGCAGAGAGGCCGGGAGCCUGACGAGCCUCCUCAGGAGAGGCUGACACCCACGCCGGUCACGCAUCUGGGCAGCGGUGCAGCAACCUGGACCAGGCCUUUCACAGGUUGGGUGGCGGCUGGGGCUGCGCAGCACCAGCCGCAGUGACCUCCUGCCCACGGUCCGGUCCGUUGCUGGCUGUCAGUGGGUGUUCGGGUCAUGAUGGGGAAGCCUGUUCUCGGGCCCUGUCCCCUCCUGCAUUUCCCCCAGUGACACCCUCCUGGUGUCUGUAGGAACCCGGGGGGUGGGGGGUGCUGUCUGUCCAGGUCCCCGCCUAGGGUGGUAGGCCUGCAGGCGGGGCAGCCUCCCGCAGCUCCUCCCUCAGGCAGAGUGGCUGGGCGAGUGAAGGGGCGCGAGUGCGGGCACCAGGGCGCACACUGCACUCUGACACCGGCCACUUCUUCCUCCCCAGCUGCCGGGCCGCAGGUACCGCCCCGGGUACAACGCCGACGUGGGCGACAAGUGGAUCUGGCUGAAGUGAGCGGCGCCCACCAGGCUGUCACGGCACGAGGACGCCUCUGUCCCGUCCCUCUCACGGACUCCACGGAGCUGUGCAGCUGCGGGAUGCAGAUGGUGGUGAGCUGCGCGGAGGGCCCAGCAAAUGCAGCCCACCCAGUGCGGCCUGUGGAGUUUGGGAAACAACUUCUCUUGCCGGCCUCGGGCCUUCUGGCUGUGUUCUGAAGUCACCGUGAUUGUCACUGGGGAGGAGCGGCAUUUGCUGUCAAGCCCAGCUGUCGCCGAGGCGUGGUGUCCGCCCAGCUCCGUCACCACGGUGGCGCGCUGUUCCUCUGACUUGAA